GGCAGAGUGGUCGAUCGCGCCGCACUCGAAAUGCGGAGUACUCGCAAGGGUACCGGGGGUUCGAAUCCCUCC
rnacentral:tRNA from 1 species